rnacentral:lncRNA from 10 species
UUCUUAUAGCACAUGAAACGAAAAUCGGUUGCAUGGCUUUCCCCAACUGGGAGAAGGACUGGGUCUAGACUACUUUCCCAGUUUCUCUUGUAAUUGGAUGUUGCCAUGUGAGUUGUUCUUACCAGUGGAACUUGAGAAAAGUCUGGUCACAUGUGGGCCAAGGUUUUCUAUGAGGUGAGUAUGCUGCCUCCACCCUCUUUCCCCUCCCACUCUCUGGCAAAACCCAAGGGGAUGGCAAGGCACAGACAAGAAAGGAGCCUGAAUUACUAUAAAGGAGACAGCAGUCCGCUGAUCAAUUCUACCUUGGGAUACUGAGAAAGUAAAGAAUAAACUUCAUUUGAGUUUGACAUAUUAAAUAUUUGGGAUUGUUUUGUUGCCCACCCUAAUAAUACAGUGUGAUAAUGCCAUGUGACUUUAUUUUUAAUGGAAAUACAAUUUGUGUUCUUACAAGACUAUUAUAUGUAAAGUGUAUUAUGAUAGUUUCUUCUAUUAUCUGUAUAUAAAUCUGUCUUAAAUUUUAAGUU